rnacentral:rRNA from 1 species
UACGGGGGGAGCAAGCGUUGUUCGGAUUUACUGGGCGUAAAGGGCGCGUAGGCGGUCGUGACAAGUCACUUGUGAAAUCUCCGGGCUUAACUCGGAACGGUCAAGUGAUACUGUCGGACUAGAGUACAGAAGGGGCAACUGGAAUUCUCGGUGUAGCGGUGAAAUGCGUAGAUAUCGAGAGGAACACCUGCGGCGAAGGCGGGUUGCUGGGCUGAUACUGACGCUGAAGCGCGAAAGCCAGGGGAGCGAACGGG